rnacentral:rRNA from 1 species
AUUGAACGCUGGCGGCAUGCCUUACACAUGCAAGUCGAACGGCAGCACGGGUGCUUGCCCCUGGUGGCGAGUGGCGAAAGGGUGAGUAAUACAUCGGAACAUGUCCUGUAGUGGGGGAUAGCCCGGCGAAAGCCGGAUUAAUACCGCAUACGAUCUACGGAUGAAAGCGGGGGACCUUCGGGCCUCGCGCGAUAGGGUUGGCCGAUGGCUGAUUAGCUAGUUGGUGGGGUAAAGGCCUACCAAGGCGACGAUCAGUAGCUGGUCUGAGAGGACGACCAGCCACACUGGGACUGAGACACGGCCCAGACUCCUACGGGAGGCAGCAGUGGGGAAUUUUGGACAAUGGGCGAAAGCCUGAUCCAGCAAUGCCGCGUGUGUGAAGAAGGCCUUCGGGUUGUAAAGCACUUUUGUCCGGAAAGAAAUCCUUGGCCCUAAUACGGUCGGGGGAUGACGGUACCGGAAGAAUAAGCACCGGCUAACUACGU